ensembl:lncRNA
AGCAGAUCUUGGGUUGAACUAAUGAGGGAGGGCUGAGAAAUUGGAACAAGCUUGGUUAGAGGAAUAUGUGAGGUUCAGUGCCAUCAACUGUUGGACUGCAGACAUGUCUGUCUCUAAGCAUUGAAUAAAUACUGGAAUUCCAAAGUAAAUGCAGACCUAAGAUAAGAAUAGCAUUCCAGCCUAAUCCUCAGACACCAGUGGUGAAGGGAACACUGCAAACCACACCAAAUAAUUGGAGUGGGCAAGAUCUCUGCUAAUAAUCGCAUAUUAGUGUUCCAUUUCUGCUAGAUAUGUUUCUUUCCCACAUCACAGACUGUCUCAGCCUCCUGCCUUGGGAGGGCUGAACAGAAGCUGAAUCAACUCUAUGGGGCUUUCAUAGUUCAUGAAAGUCCCCAGGCUCCUCAGUGCAUCUUGGCCAUGUUUUGACUUUGUGUUAGGAGACAACGUCUUGUCCAGCUGAGUUUCUAAGGAAGGUGUGGGUAUGCAGGUAUGGGAGGAGAUAAAGUACACUGUGGGUCAUUGUCCAGUGGGGUGUAGUAAGGGGCAAACCUAGGAUGUACCUUAAAAAACACUUUGGACACGGCUUGGACUUGCUUGUCUUGUAACAUAGACACAGCCAAGAGUGAUAGGAGUAGGAAAAAAGCUUUUUUGUGGGAAGAUGUUGGAGAUAGGAAGACUGAUUAGGAUGAAGAAGUAAGAGGAGGAUUUUGGGAACCAGGAAAGCACACGGUCAAUGGUAAAUUAUGUUUAGACAACACAAGGCUGGUUCACUCAGCAGGAUGCAACUCAGAGACCCUGCCAAAGUUCUCUCAUGCAUCCGUGGAGAAAUCAUUUCAGUGUGUGUCAGAUCAGUGGAAUAGGGGCUGCUUCCUUCGGCAACGAAGUCCUGACAGCAGUCGUGGAAAGCAAUGGAUCACUCGAUGUAAUUGAAAGAUGGUAGAACUAAAUCAGAUGAAAUGUAGACAUCGGAGGGCGGUGUUUCAGCAUAUACCUGAGCUAAGGAGGAAACACCCACUGCAAAAUACUCAGAAUGACCCAAUGUAAAGCAAAAGCCAGGGAGAGGUUCUUGCAGAAGCAUCCCAUGUUAUUCUGCUGAAGAUGCUCAGAUUCUUCUGGAGGCCUCUACUCCCUGUCCUGGAUCAUGAACAAAAUGAGUUGACUACUCCAGGACAUUCUACUUCAUCUAAUCAGUGGGCAAACACCCUUCCCAGCUCUGUCUGAGCAUGGCAGGGAGACUCCUCUGUGCACAUAAAAAGCUUUAUGCAACAGAACUGCAUGUUAUCACGUUAAGAAGGGAGUAUUUCUGAGUAUCUUGGCUCUUCCAUAUUUAGGGAAAAGAUAAAUCAGCAUCCUGAGUUGCCAUGGCAAAUAAUAUAGCAGCACCCCUGCGUAAUGCCUCUCUGCAAAUACUUUAAUAUUGAAUGACUGUAAUUUUGCUUUGGAGACUGGAAAAUAGAUUCUGAGACCAACUGAACAGCUGCUGAUGAAAGUCAUUUUGCAGAGGUCUCUUAAGCAUCUCAGCCAGUAAAGUACAAACCAGAAAAGUAAGAAAUGUUACAGCUUGAUUCAGGAUAUGCUAUCAGUGCAUUUACUGGGGAUGUGGGUUUGCUAGUGAUUGAUGGCAGGAAUGACUUCAGUAUAAAUCUCUGUUAUUUAUUAAGUAUUGACAGUGGGAUAAGAGCAGCACAUGGCAGAGUAGUUUCAGCUCUCAGUGCAGGGAUUUCAGUAGCUCUUAGGAGAAGUGCUGCUUCAGGGGAAGUGUUGAAUGUGGUGAACAGCUUUGGAAAACUAACCCCUCUUCCUUUCUCUGAUGCCAUCUCUCUGACUUCUCCAUCUCUCUCUCCCAGUACUCUGAACAGAAGCUCUGUGUUGACAGGAGAGCAUAAAAUGCCUCUCUGUGGCAACUUCAAAGCUCCAUAAAUUAGCCCUUAGUGUGAUUUCCUUCGGAUAGAAUCAGUUGAUACCACCAAAGCUGAAAGACACAAAGAUGGGACCACCUCCCCAAGGCUAUAAGAUAGUAGGAUUCAUCUUGGUUUGCAGGUAUUACCUCCAUUCCAAUCUGAAAGUAUAAAAUGAUGAGGGAGCUGUAGAAAGGCAGGGGGAAAAGGAGCAUCUCUCCUCCCAGAACCAGGAUUCAUAGAAUCAUGGAAUCAUUAAGGGCGCAAAAAACCACUAAGAUCAUCAAGUCCAACCACCAACCUAUCAUCCAUGCCCACUAAAUCAUGUCCCUAAAGAAGGGUCAGCACACAUCCCUGGAGUCAUAGCAGAGCUGGGCUAAAGUUUGGUCUUAGCACCUUCUACACUAAAGGAGAUCAGCCUCAACCAGAUCCUCAGGUUAUAUUCUGGACCAUAAAUGCACUGGAAGGAAUGUUCCUAGUCUUUACCAAAGACACCAAUCACAGCAGCCUGGAGUGGUGGAUUCUGGAUUAUACUCAUUCUCACUGGAGAGCAUUAAUAAAGGGAAAUACAGGAAAUCUAAAUCAUAUCUUCCAGCUCCCCAGUAGAUUAGACUGCUCUGAAUGCUUGUGUUGGGACUCUGGAGAUCCUGGUCCCAAAGCCCAAUGCAUUUAGAAUCUAUUUAGCACCUUUAUCCUGUUGCUGAAUCAGCAUCUUACAGUAGGAUGAAGGAGAAGCAGGUGCUCUCCUCUAUCCAGGCUUUUUGUCUCCUACCUUUUUACAGGUAGUCCUUCACUGUUUCAACACAGAGCACCCGUCCAUUUUCAUUAUGCUCAAGCAUGAGCUGGUUGGGCUGUGAAGGGUGGGAGACUGAUGAUCAAGGAGUUCCAUGUGGGCACACCUGAUUUACUUAUUUUUUUUCUUUGUUUAAACAGCAUGAUCCAGUAAAAAUAAGGUAAAAUAAUCAUAAGGUAAUAAUAAAAGGAAAAGCUGUACACAAGAUCUUCAAAACAAGGCACUCCUGAAACAAGUAGUUCUUCUCCUGUAUCUUGCUGCUGGUAAAAGGUGAUGGAUUUUUUUCCCCUGAAUAAAUAGCAGUGGUAGGUCUCAGAAUAACAUGCCAAGACACUGGUUUAUCUAGGAGAUUUCUCAUUCAUUCCCAGGUCCAGAAUACAUGGUGUGCUUCAACCAGCAGGCAGGCUUGUACUGUCAAUCCUCCCUGUGGUUUUGGUGGCUGAGGAAGCUGGAAAUCGGGAUUACUAGAUAUUCUCCCUGCCCGGCUCCAAUUUUUCUUCCUCUUUUUCUACAUCAAUCACUUCCUUUGAACAAACAUCAUUAACAACCAGAGAUAUGAACCCUUCUAAGGACCUCAGAGCUGGCCAGACAGAUCAGGGACAGGGACUUCAGUGUUGCCUGGAGUGCUUGUACAAAGGAGAAGACCUCAUCUGUACAUAAUGGGUCUAGACUUCAACAUCAAUAAGAGAAUGAUUUUCUUUCUUCUAGGGCAUCUUGCUGAAUACAACAUAGCCAAAGCCUUUGAAGGAGUUGGCCUUGCAUGGCAUGUCAUCAGAUGGUGCUUUUAAUGAGUCAAGCCUCACUCUCCAGAGAUGGCUGGGAUGGGUUCUCCGUGUUCCUAGAGUCAUCAUCUAUGAUUGUGGAAUAAAGAGAAAGAUUUUUCAUGGAUGCAUCUUUCAUGUCCUAGGAAGAGAGUUUUCUCUCAGAACAGCAGACUGCUCUGGAUUGCACACAAAAUCUGAGAAAAUUUCUCAAGUUGGCAAGACCUCCUUUCUUCCUGGAGCCCUCAUUCCUCUUACUUCAAAGCCAGCCCUGCAACGUUAGAUGCAUCAAGAAGAGAACGUAAUUGGAGCUGCAGUUAGCAACAUGGCAGUCCCCAGAUGCAGGGCAUAUUUGCUGUGGAGAUGGCAUUUAAGGCAGGUUUUCAUUAUGUGGAAAGUGUGUAUCCAAGCCAUCCUGCAGGGUGGCGUGGUGCCUGUAUUUACAGUGCUGGCAGCUUUCAAUAGCAAUCUAUUUUUAAUGAAACCAAGCUGGAAUGUGGUGCCUGAACCCUUGAUUUAAGGCAGAUUUCUAAAGGGAAGAUUUACGCAAAUUUGCUUGAUUGGAACUUAAUUAUUGCAACAGUCAAGUUCAGCUCAAAUGAUCUUGCAGAGACAGCCACAGGAGUCAGAUAAUUCAUGUCAGAGAGAAGACAUCAAUUUGCAUUCCUUACAUUUCCAUUUGGAAGGUUUCCUAAUUCUGGAGUAAGCAGGAGGCAUUGCAAAGAAAGCGAAGGGCCAGCGGGACUGGUAGUGGGUUGAUCUGUUCCCCAAAGUCCUCCUGUGAAAGGCAUUGUGUAUGAGUUAUGGCAAAUCCAGUGUCACCAGGAAGGCAAAACACUGUAGACUCGUGCAUCCCAGCACUGCUGAAUGCUGCUGUGAAGCCAAAGGGAUGUUUGGGGGCCCAGGUGUGAAAGCUUCUCCACUGCCUCAUGGGCUCCAAGUCUGGUUUCCCUGCCUUCAGCACCGUGUUGCACUUCAGAAAACAGAACAAAGAUAGGAAGGGUGCUCCAAAUACCUGGACGCUGAAAGCUACCUUUCUCUUUGAAGCUGGUUUGUUUUUCCAGCCUUUUCCAAUUUGCAAAUUGGUCAGCACGAUAGGAAUUUCUCUGAUCCUUUCCUUAGCCAAAGGGGGAAGAAGGAC